rnacentral:sRNA from 1 species
UGAUAACCCUGGAGCCUGAUGUGCAAUAUUUAUCCACAGGACAAGUGCAACUCAGACAGUAGCAGUACAAACUUCCUUACCUGCCCUGCCAAUGUGCUGCAGUUCUGAUGGAGAGGGACCACAUCCCGGUGAAAGGUGGCAGUGAAGUCUAUGGGGAAGAUUGUCUAAGGCACAA